rnacentral:rRNA from 1 species
GACGAACGCUGGCGGCGUGCCUAAUACAUGCCAGUAGAACGCUGAAGGAGGAGCUUGCUUCUCUGGAUGAGUUGCGAACGGGUGAGUAACGCGUAGGUAACCUGCCUGGUAGCGGGGGAUAACUAUUGGAAACGAUAGCUAAUACCGCAUAAUAGCAGUUGUUGCAUGACAACUGUUUGAAAGGUGCAAUUGCACCACUACCAGAUGGACCUGCGUUGUAUUAGCUAGUUGGUGGGGUAACGGCUCACCAAGGCGACGAUACAUAGCCGACCUGAGAGGGUGAUCGGCCACACUGGGACUGAGACACGGCCCAGACUCCUACGGGAGGCAGCAGUAGGGAAUCUUCGGCAAUGGACGGAAGUCUGACCGAGCAACGCCGCGUGAGUGAAGAAGGUUUUCGGAUCGUAAAGCUCUGUUGUAAGAGAAGAACGAGUGCGAGAGUGGAAAGUUCACACUGUGACGGUAUCUUACCAGAAAGGGACGGCUAACUACGUG